rnacentral:lncRNA from 1 species
UCAGUUUUGGAUUUGACGACGUUUUGUUGUAGCUCUAAGUAAAAUGUAUUUUUUUGAAAUUAAAGAAUACAGAAUAAAUUCAAAAUAUCUGAAUAACGGAAGAGCACAUCACCGGCCAAGACCUGCCCAGUCAAAGCGACACGGGAAAAGGCCGAGGAGUACGGUCAAAGCAAAACUGUCACGGUGGUCAAGUGUUUACUGUUUAGAUGCAUCUUUUUGAUUAAAUUAAUCUAACAAAAAAUUAUUUCUCCAAUCUUUCGAAUAUUUGGCGAUUCCAAGACGAUAUUUUUUUCCACAAAUCAUUACUUUAUUUUUCCAGACUCAAAGCAGCAUAGUUUCUGGCCCCAGAACCAAAGAGAAAAGUAGACCCCUCAGCAGAGGAGCCCUUUGCUGGAGACUUCGGUCAAGUCCUCUGUUUCUCUCUUUUCUGCCCCUUGAAUCCUCAUCUCCAGUUAUAUUUGGUCUGGGUAUCCACUUUUUUCUUCACUCGUGUUUUAUUUUUGUUGAAUAUUUGAUAUUUUUGUGUCUAGAUUUACACUGAGUCCCAUC